UCUUCUCUAUCAGCCGUUUACUUUCAACAAGAUUAAAAAAAAAAAGAAAUCUCGUUCUCUUCUCUGAUGAUUAGGGUUCAACCGCUCUAGUUUCUAAUAACGUAUGAAGUCUCAAAUCAAUAAUCUCUCCGAGAUUAAGGUCGAACAAUUUGCUGAUUUCAGAGAUCUCAAAUCCCAAAUCAAGCCCUAAUCUCAAAUCUCAAAAAAUUUCAUUCCUCGGAGUUUGAAUCAAUUGCUGAAAUUUUUGGAUUCCCUGUUAAAUCUUGCAUAUCUUAAUUGUAUCAAGGAUAAAUACACGGUAAUAAUGGGAUAUUGGGUUUGGAAGGUAAUGUUUUGAAGAUGAAGAGAUGAUUGUAGACAUGGGUUUUGUUUGAUUCAUGGACUACAUGAAGUUGGAAGAUGUUGAUGGCUGGUAUAGAGAUUCUUACAGCAAGGAAGUCCUACUAAGAGCAGUGGUGUAGUUAGACCUCAGUUUGAAUCUAACCUUCUUCCUAAAGUCAUGGUAAUCAAUAUUGAAACCCCCUGAAGAACAACAUGACCCUGAUGAUUAUAAAGCAAGAUGCAGGAGAUAUGUGGAAUGGUAAGAGAGCUUCUACAAACUUUGCAGUAUAUGAAGAGACCUGUGUGGACAAGGAUGCAAUCGCGGAGGUGGGUGAAUAUGAAUUUCAUAUUGUUAACCUUUUAGUUACUAACCCAUUUUGUUUACAUGUUCAUAGGUGUUUGGGUGUGAUCGUGGGGGCUUCAUCCGGGGUAUGGAACACCCAGCAUCUCUGAUUCCACUUCAGAGUUUCAUCCACGCUUUGGGCUAUUUGCAUCAUGCAAUUAGCCAAUUACAGGUUCUCCACUAAAGUUGAAUAAUGUUAUUUGAAGACCAAAAAGUUCAGUUAUAGUUCAACAGCAGAAUCAUGUGUCCAACAACUUUUUUAUUGCUUAAAAAGUUUCGUUUUGGUUUGGUGCUUGUGGCAUGUCCUUCGUUGUGUGGAUGGUGAUGGAUUUGGUAAAGAGGCUUUUUAACAAGGACCAGAGAAAAAGAAUGACUGCUGCCCAGGCUUUGAGAAAACUUUUUUGACAAACUGGAAGCAUCAUAUAUCUUAAACGCCUUGACAGUAUUCUCCUUCGAGUUCGUAUCAUGUUUCUUUCUGACGAUUCAAAAACACCAAAAGUCAAACAACAACAUCUUUUACAGAUAGGAUGAACUGAGACGCAUUAGAGAAGAGAUUAUUGUUGCUUGGGGUGAUAGGGAUGAGCUGAGACGCAUCAGAUGUUGCUGCUAUAAACCAAUAGUUAAUUGACAAGCCUUACGCUUGCUGCUUAUGAAGGUAGUCAUCUUUUGUAUUUACCUCUUUUCAAGCGUUAAUUUUUUUAAUUGUUUGUCAGUCCUGGAAAA